ACCUUUCAUAGUAAUAUAUAUUUAUAUUUCGAGCCUGCCCAAUCAAAAAAAAAAAAAAGAAUGCUUUACAAUAACCAAUCAGUAAAGAGCACUAUUGUAUCUGGGUAAGAUUUAACGCAACAGCCAAUAACAAAAGAGCAUAUCCUGGAAUUGUUCACGUGAUUCUGCCUCUGAUUCUUUCCCGAAAGUUUAUUUUACCCACAGAGGAAAGGAAACCAACCACCUACUUAGUGGCGUAUCGAAACAUCCUUAAAAAGAAGAAGAAGAAAAAAAAAGGAAACCAAACCACCGGAGCUUCAUCACUGUGAGCACUAAGGGUGGAUGAACUUCGCUUUCUUUUAGAUGCCCUACCUGGAGGAUUCUGAAGAUAAUGAAGAUAAUGAAUGGCAGAUUAAUCAGAAUAAGGAAGGACAGCACAUGACUGUGAAGAUCACAACUACUGUUUCUCGGGCGGCUCUGUCUCCCAUGGCAACAGUUCCACUGGUGCUCUCUGGGGGCGGGGUCAGAGAUCAGUGAUGUCAUAAUGACCAGGCAAGUCAUUUAGUGUCCCUGGUCUUUCACACUGGGCAGAAGAGCUUUAUAUGUAGCCUAUGACCUCAAAUGUCUACUCAUUACACAAUUUCAUACUUGCAUACUACUCUGGAGUACAGAAUAUAUAUAUAUAUAU